GAAAUGGAGGAAGAAAAAGGAGAUCAGAAAAGGAGAGGCAGACACAUUCCCCAUCACAUCCUCCAUCUGACAUCAGCAGUGAAUCCGAGGAAGUGUCUGAAAUAUCUGACAUUGAGCAGAACUGAUUGAUGACCCAUCAACCCUUGAGGAUCUCAUCACAUAAAUGUUUAUUAUUAAAUCAAUAUGUAUUAUUAAAUGUAUUUAUUUUAACCCUUAA